rnacentral:rRNA from 1 species
AUUGAACGCUGGCGGCAUGCCUUACACAUGCAAGUCGAACGGUAACGGGCCUUCGGGUGCCGACGAGUGGCGAACGGGUGAGUAAUGCAUCGGAACGUACCUUUCAGUGGGGGAUAACGUAGCGAAAGUUACGCUAAUACCGCAUAUUCUGUGAGCAGGAAAGCAGGGGAUCGCAAGACCUUGCGCUGAUUGAGCGGCCGAUGUCAGAUUAGCUAGUUGGUGAGGUAAAGGCUCACCAAGGCGACGAUCUGUAGCGGGUCUGAGAGGAUGAUCCGCCACACUGGAACUGAGACACGGUCCAGACUCCUACGGGAGGCAGCAGUGGGGAAUAUUGCGCAAUGGGGGAAACCCUGACGCAGCCACGCCGCGUGAGUGAUGAAGGCCUUCGGGUUGUAAAGACUCUGUCGGGAGGGACGAAGGGGGAAACCCUCGACGGUACCUCGCAAGAAAG